GACGAACGCUGGCGGCGUGCUUAACACAUGCAAGUCGAACGGAAAGGCCCUGCUUUUGUGGGGUGCUCGAGUGGCGAACGGGUGAGUAACACGUGAGUAACCUGCCCUUGACUUUGGGAUAACUUCAGGAAACUGGGGCUAAUACCGGAUAGGAGCUCCUGCUGCAUGGUGGGGGUUGGAAAGUUUCGGCGGUUGGGGAUGGACUCGCGGCUUAUCAGCUUGUUGGUGGGGUAGUGGCUUACCAAGGCUUUGACGGGUAGCCGGCCUGAGAGGGUGACCGGCCACAUUGGGACUGGGGUACGGCCCAGACGCCAACGGGAGGCAGCAGUGGGGAAUAUUGCACAAUGCGCGGAAGCCUGAUGCAGCAACGCCGCGUGGGGGAGGACGGCCUUCGGGUGGUAAACCGCUUUCGCCUGUGACGAAGCGUGAGUGACGGUAAUGGGGAAAGAAGCACCGGCUAACUACGU
rnacentral:rRNA from 1 species